UUCAAGCCAGGCAUGAAGCGUCGCACAGCAGCACACGCACUAACGUACAGGCAGUUUCUUGCGUUUUACUCCCGAUUUGAUUACCGGUGAUUUAAGCCACCAUUUGACGCACCGUUUCUUCCUACUUAAGCUCCACAUCUUCCUCUUCGUUUCCCCUCAAACGGCACCUCCCGAGAGCCCCCAGGCUGCUCGAAUUUUCGCUCGCAUGUCCGCAGUACCGUCGCGGUAAAUCGUCGAUUGCGCGACGGCGCCAUCUUCAUCUGUGAACACGUCCGCGGGACAGUAUACCGGCGAGCGACUGCGCACCAGUGAGAAAGCCCGUACGUUAAACUCGUCGUCGAUUUCAGCUCGUACACCACUUCGCGGACGCCAAGAACCGCUGCAACGCGACUCCAUCCACGAACAAGUGCAACGCCAGCAUCAACGAAGUUCUUUUUCCUAUUGUGGUUAUGCUGAUUGCAACGAAUGUUUCUGCGAAGAGUGUACAAACUCGUCCUCUCACCAAGGCAAGUGACACACACCAAAUGUCCCAGUUUUAAUUCUUGCACCGUAGUGUUUUUAUAGUAGACAUGUCUAGGGUUUAUGCUUUAUGCCUGCUAAUAAAUCCUAGUAGUUUAGCUACACCACUCCUAGACUCCUUUAGCCGCCAUUAAAUUUAGUUGUUACCUGCUAUGCCAUGGAAAAUGUUUUGAUAGAGGUUAAGGAAAAACAACUAAAGUUUAAUGAAUUACCUGGGUGAAUGGUGGAGUUAUGGAGAGGGUGGCUGUAUCAGGGGGCAAGACCCUGGUGCUAGUGCACACUUGCGGAAAGUCACCCAGGCUUAAAGAGAUUGUAGACAAACCUUGCUCAUUAGCUUCACGUACAACCACAUGCUACUAUGGCUCCGGCUUGACAAAGUAUGUUGUAUGAACCCGGAUCCUAGGGGCCAGGUGGUGGUAGAGGGAUACUGUAGGUGUA